rnacentral:rRNA from 1 species
AGCAGCCGCCACGGUAAUACGUAGGGUGCGAGCGUUAAUCGGAAUUACUGGGCGUAAAGCGGGCGCAGACGGUUACUUAAGCAGGAUGUGAAAUCCCCGGGCUCAACCUGGGAACUGCGUUCUGAACUGGGUGACUAGAGUGUGUCAGAGGGAGGUAGAAUUCCACGUGUAGCAGUGAAAUGCGUAGAGAUGUGGAGGAAUACCGAUGGCGAAGGCAGCCUCCUGGGAUAACACUGACGUUCAUGCCCGAAAGCGUGGGUAGCAAACAGGAUUAGAUACCCCAGUAGUCCCUGUCUCUUAUAC